GGUUAAGCGACUAAGCGUACACGGUGGAUGCCCUGGCAGUCAGAGGCGAUGAAGGACGUGCUAAUCUGCGAUAAGCGUCGGUAAGGUGAUAUGAACCGUUAUAACCGGCGAUUUCCGAAUGGGGAAACCCAGUGUGUUUCGACACACUAUCAUUAACUGAAUCCAUAGGUUAAUGAGGCGAACCGGGGGAACUGAAACAUCUAAGUACCCCGAGGAAAAGAAAUCAACCGAGAUUCCCCCAGUAGCGGCGAGCGAACGGGGAGGAGCCCAGAGCCUGAAUCAGUGUGUGUGUUAGUGGAAGCGUCUGGAAAGGCGCGCGAUACAGGGUGACAGCCCCGUACACAAAAAUGCACAUGCUGUGAGCUCGAUGAGUAGGGCGGGACACGUGGUAUCCUGUCUGAAUAUGGGGGGACCAUCCUCCAAGGCUAAAUACUCCUGACUGACCGAUAGUGAACCAGUACCGUGAGGGAAAGGCGAAAAGAACCCCGGCGAGGGGAGUGAAAAAGAACCUGAAACCGUGUACGUACAAGCAGUGGGAGCACGCUUAGGCGUGUGACUGCGUACCUUUUGUAUAAUGGGUCAGCGACUUAUAUUCUGUAGCAAGGUUAACCGAAUAGGGGAGCCGAAGGGAAACCGAGUCUUAACUGGGCGUUAAGUUGCAGGGUAUAGACCCGAAACCCGGUGAUCUAGCCAUGGGCAGGUUGAAGGUUGGGUAACACUAACUGGAGGACCGAACCGACUAAUGUUGAAAAAUUAGCGGAUGACUUGUGGCUGGGGGUGAAAGGCCAAUCAAACCGGGAGAUAGCUGGUUCUCCCCGAAAGCUAUUUAGGUAGCGCCUCGUGAAUUCAUCUCCGGGGGUAGAGCACUGUUUCGGCAAGGGGGUCAUCCCGACUUACCAACCCGAUGCAAACUGCGAAUACCGGAGAAUGUUAUCACGGGAGACACACGGCGGGUGCUAACGUCCGUCGUGAAGAGGGAAACAACCCAGACCGCCAGCUAAGGUCCCAAAGUCAUGGUUAAGUGGGAAACGAUGUGGGAAGGCCCAGACAGCCAGGAUGUUGGCUUAGAAGCAGCCAUCAUUUAAAGAAAGCGUAAUAGCUCACUGGUCGAGUCGGCCUGCGCGGAAGAUGUAACGGGGCUAAACCAUGCACCGAAGCUGCGGCAGCGACGCUUAUGCGUUGUUGGGUAGGGGAGCGUUCUGUAAGCCUGCGAAGGUGUACUGUGAGGUAUGCUGGAGGUAUCAGAAGUGCGAAUGCUGACAUAAGUAACGAUAAAGCGGGUGAAAAGCCCGCUCGCCGGAAGACCAAGGGUUCCUGUCCAACGUUAAUCGGGGCAGGGUGAGUCGACCCCUAAGGCGAGGCCGAAAGGCGUAGUCGAUGGGAAACAGGUUAAUAUUCCUGUACUUGGUGUUACUGCGAAGGGGGGACGGAGAAGGCUAUGUUGGCCGGGCGACGGUUGUCCCGGUUUAAGCGUGUAGGCUGGUUUUCCAGGCAAAUCCGGAAAAUCAAGGCUGAGGCGUGAUGACGAGGCACUACGGUGCUGAAGCAACAAAUGCCCUGCUUCCAGGAAAAGCCUCUAAGCAUCAGGUAACAUCAAAUCGUACCCCAAACCGACACAGGUGGUCAGGUAGAGAAUACCAAGGCGCUUGAGAGAACUCGGGUGAAGGAACUAGGCAAAAUGGUGCCGUAACUUCGGGAGAAGGCACGCUGAUAUGUAGGUGAAGUCCCUCGCGGAUGGAGCUGAAAUCAGUCGAAGAUACCAGCUGGCUGCAACUGUUUAUUAAAAACACAGCACUGUGCAAACACGAAAGUGGACGUAUACGGUGUGACGCCUGCCCGGUGCCGGAAGGUUAAUUGAUGGGGUUAGCGCAAGCGAAGCUCUUGAUCGAAGCCCCGGUAAACGGCGGCCGUAACUAUAACGGUCCUAAGGUAGCGAAAUUCCUUGUCGGGUAAGUUCCGACCUGCACGAAUGGCGUAAUGAUGGCCAGGCUGUCUCCACCCGAGACUCAGUGAAAUUGAACUCGCUGUGAAGAUGCAGUGUACCCGCGGCAAGACGGAAAGACCCCGUGAACCUUUACUAUAGCUUGACACUGAACAUUGAGCCUUGAUGUGUAGGAUAGGUGGGAGGCUUAGAAGUGUGGACGCCAGUCUGCAUGGAGCCGACCUUGAAAUACCACCCUUUAAUGUUUGAUGUUCUAACGUUGACCCGUAAUCCGGGUUGCGGACAGUGUCUGGUGGGUAGUUUGACUGGGGCGGUCUCCUCCUAAAGAGUAACGGAGGAGCACGAAGGUUGGCUAAUCCUGGUCGGACAUCAGGAGGUUAGUGCAAUGGCAUAAGCCAGCUUGACUGCGAGCGUGACGGCGCGAGCAGGUGCGAAAGCAGGUCAUAGUGAUCCGGUGGUUCUGAAUGGAAGGGCCAUCGCUCAACGGAUAAAAGGUACUCCGGGGAUAACAGGCUGAUACCGCCCAAGAGUUCAUAUCGACGGCGGUGUUUGGCACCUCGAUGUCGGCUCAUCACAUCCUGGGGCUGAAGUAGGUCCCAAGGGUAUGGCUGUUCGCCAUUUAAAGUGGUACGCGAGCUGGGUUUAGAACGUCGUGAGACAGUUCGGUCCCUAUCUGCCGUGGGCGCUGGAGAACUGAGGGGGGCUGCUCCUAGUACGAGAGGACCGGAGUGGACGCAUCACUGGUGUUCGGGUUGUCAUGCCAAUGGCACUGCCCGGUAGCUAAAUGCGGAAGAGAUAAGUGCUGAAAGCAUCUAAGCACGAAACUUGCCCCGAGAUGAGUUCUCCCUGACUCCUUGAGAGUCCUGAAGGAACGUUGAAGACGACGACGUUGAUAGGCCGGGUGUGUAAGCGCAGCGAUGCGUUGAGCUAACCGGUACUAAUGAACCGUGAGGCUUAACCUU
rnacentral:rRNA from 1 species